CUUUUUCCGAGUGAAGAAAUUAAGCCUGAACAAUUACCUCAUAUCAAAUCAAUCAGUAAUAGAAUAAUCAAAAACUGGGCUCACUCUGUGCUGUGUAAGAAAUAGCCAUAGAACUGUCCAGAGUUCGAGCAGCUUUGGGAUGGGUACUUUUGUGGAUACAACGGUGUAUUAAAGUGAUUAUGAGUGUUUCCUUUAAUUUUGUUUGCAAAACAGCCUCCUCUUAGACUCACAAUUAAUUGAAGUUUUGCUAUGAUAAAGAGCUUGGAUGUCAAACUGAUGACAGUAUUUCAGUUAAUGUGGACCUUUUAUAAUGGAGGCAUUUGGAAACUGUGGGAGAUGACAUCACAGAAUUGAUUUCCAGGUACAUUACAAAUCUACUAUGAAAUUACUUUAAUGAAAGGAAAAUAUAGAGGUUACUUAUCUACAUGAUUUAUAUCCAGCUACACCAGUUUUAGGUUGUAGGAGAGUACUGAGAAGUUCUGGGGGGACUGUAGCCAACCUUUCAGACAGGCGACCAUCUCUCACCACUUUCUCUCCCCUCUUCUGCUCCCCACAGCCCCUCCAACAGCACGGAGCUGUCUCCCCACUCCAGGACUCCCGCCUGUCCUUCCCUCAGUCCCCUAGGACAGCUCUUCAGAGACGCAAUGGCCUCGGGGCAUUUCCUGAUCUUCUCAGGGAAGAAGCCCAUGACCAGGAGGAUGAACCAACCAGCCAAUCAGAGGCCAGGCUGGACCUGAACCAGGACUGCUCGCAUCCGUUACAUUCUCCCCUGCUCUCUCCGGCUGGACGCAAGAUCGGAGGCUUGGACCCCUCUGCUGACCUCAGCUGGCCCUGUGUGGUGUGGACUGACUCCUUCAUGGCUCAGCUGAGCCCAGGGGACAUCCCAUAAAGCUCUGCAUGCACACACUCUUCUCUCCUUUGUACUGUUAGUUUGGACAUCAGUUUUUUUUUUUUAAUACAUUUAUUUUUAAUUGAAGGAUAAUUGCUUUACAAUGUUGCUUUCAUUUCUGUAAUACGUCAACAUGAAUUAGCCAUAGGUGUACAUAUUUCCCCUCCCUUUUGAACCACCUCCUACCCUUUCCCACUCCUCUAGGUGGUUACAGAGCCCCAGCUUGCGUUCCCUGGGUCAUGCGGCAAAUUUCCAUUGUUUAUCUGUUUUACAUACGGUGGUACACAUGCAUCCAUGCUUCUCCCUCCAAUCAUCUCGCCCUCUCCUUCCUCUUCUCCAACCUGUGUCCCUAAGUCUGUUCUCUACGACAUCAGUUUCUUUUUUCUUUUUUUGAUUCAAGUUCCUCAAGAACUGUUCCUGGGAAAUCUGCCCAUCUCUUAGGAGGCUCCCUCCUGGGGUCCAUUCUUUUCGUCACCUCCCCAUGGUGACAGGCUUGAAGCCAGGCAUGGGGCUGCUUUUGCCAGACCUUGGCCUUGGUCUCCCUUGUGGGUGGGUUUGUGCCACCUCAGGGACUGUGACAUAAGAUACCCUUGGAGUCACAUGUCCUUUUCCAGGAGCUGGGGUGGACAGGCUUCCUGCCCCAGACCAGUUCUGGGUGAAGGGAAAUCACAUGAUGGGGGCUCAGGUCUGAGGGGUCCCGUGGAGUGGAGCCGUGCAUGGCUGGGAGCCCAUCCCGGCUCCGAGGGAAGCAACCAUGUCAGUCUGAACCCAGCAGGUGUUACUGGUCUCUGCCCAUGCAGUGGGCAGGUGGUAUUCUAGGACCUGCUGGACACCAGCCAUGAGUCAGAGGGCCACAUGUAUGGCCUGAAGGGCGUCACAGGGCCAGGGUCAGGGGAGAGGCCUCCCAGGACCAGGUGAAGGCAUGUGGGGGCACCUCAGGGAGGGGAGCAGCAUGCACCUCAAGCGUGCAGGGGAGAAUUUCGUGGGUUGCGUGGAGUAG
rnacentral:lncRNA from 1 species